ACUACAAUCAUUUAUAUUAGUUUUGUUCUUCAUAUUAAUAGUGUUGUUAAUGUAGUUUCAGGCUUUGCAGGUGCACCCAAAACAAAAUAAAGGUUUGUUUUCUCAUUUAUUUUUAUACUUACUCGCUCUUUAUUCUGUUUUGAAUGAAGCAGAUCAAUUUACAGAAACCAUCGCAAAGAACCAGAACAACAACAAGAAGAAAGUGAUAACCCUACUGAGGAUCCUCUUUGUUCUAGGUCGGGGAAAUCAAAGAAUUCAAACAAGAAAUUGAUGAACUGAAAAGAUGGAACUGAAGCUUUCUGAAAUAAAAUACAAGAUUGGAAGAGGUAGACACAUGAAAAUACUUUACAUUGGACUGUAUCUUACUGAAAAAAAAAUAAAAACUGGAUAUGGAUAUAGUGAAGCUUGAACAUCUAAUACCUGUGUUGGAGUAUCCAAAUCAAAUUAACCGUAACUGGACAAUGGAUGAAAUUUCGUUAUGUGCAAGUGUGAACUUGCAUGGUCUCGGUUCCUAAUUAAUUAGUAGCUGAAAGUUCAAUAAUUAGUUGAAAUAUUUUGGAAAUUAUUUGUUUUUGUAGCCUUUUUGGGGUUUUUUUUUUAAUAAUUGUUAGAAAUUGACAAGUGUUUUCUUACUAAAAUGUCUUCCUGUUAGGCUUGAUUUA